CUCUCUCUCUCUCUCUCUCUCUCUUUCUCUCUCUUUCUCUCUCUACUGGGACGUCCCUCCGGCAGGGGUUGGCUAGGCCGUCGGUUCCCUUUCCUCCGGUCGGGUAUAUAUAUAAAGAAGGAGCCCUAAAUCCACAACCUACCGUCGACAAGGAAUAUGGACAAGUCUUGGAUGUCAGCACCUAGGGGUACGACAACGUAUAACGACGGGUGUAGGGCGUUUGUGACAUUUGCCGUUCGUAACUGUACGGCCGUCGAUGGAAAAAUUUACUGCCCAUGCAAGUAUUGUCGAAAUAACCAGCGUCACACUCCUGAUUACGUUCUUGCCCACCUGACUGGAGGUCGGGGGAUGAAUCCGGGAUACCAUUUGUGGUAUAUGCACGGUGAGACUACGACUGGAUCCGCUAUUCCUGGUCAGUGUUCGAGUUAUCACAGUGGCACAGAGGCCGCUGACCAUAGCACUGAACAUGGUGAAGUCACAGAACAGGAGGGUGUCGCCGUGGA